rnacentral:pre_miRNA from 1 species
GUGACUUGAAGAUAGGUUAUCUGUGUAGCUCUCACUUUAUUGGUGAAGAGCCAUUCACGGCUCACCUAUUUUUCAGUACC